GCGCCUCCGGAGAGCUGCGAGGGUAAAGGCGGCGGCGGGGCCCCGACCGGCCCAGCCUCCGACCCGGGGGUUCUUGCCGUGGAGCCAGGCGCCCGGUUUCCCGCCAGCACGGCAGCCUCUCAGGCGGUGGCGGGGGCCUCGUAGAAGGGAGAGGAUGGGGCUCAUCUGCGCUGGGUCUGCCGCCGCCCAGAGCCGCUGCAAAGCGAUGAGGCCGGGUGCACACUGUUGCUGAAAGGACAGGGUCGUGCACGCUCAUCCCUUACAAAAAAGGAACAGCUCAGAAAAACGAUUGGGCCAGCAGGCGCCAGAAGCUAGUGCUACUGCUUAAAGCUGGGCAGGAGGUUUACGGGGGUUUGUUCUAUGUUUUCGGGCUUGUUAAUAUUUCCUGAAUCUUGUUACUUGAGAACUUUUUUGUUUUGAUUUUGGAAGGAAAUAUUUGGGCAAACAGUCCAUGUGUAGUUCUCCAGUGUUACAGCAUAAUUCUGCUGCGAACAGCCCUGUCCUGUUAUUUGUUAAGGAAGGAUCAGCCGGGAUAACAGUGGCAGUUCGGGAAUGAAUACACAACUAGGAUUUUUGUAAUGAACGAAUAAAAAGAAUGAGAAAAUGAGAUUGCUGGUUAGAUACAGAAUUGGUGACUGACUAUUCUACUGUGCUAUGGAGCACAGCCUUGGUCUGAGUGGAAAGACAAAUUACCGAAGCUUAUCAGUGUCCUACAGGUUACCCUGUGACUCACAGAUUGAGAAGUGUUUGGGCCCAGUCAGUGUCUAAGUCCUGGAAGCAGGCUGUUGUGAGGUGAUAACACCGCAGGCAGUGGUGACUUCUGCGUCCUUUCUUGCUGGUCUAGGGUGAGAGGCAUGUGGUUGGGCCAAGGAGCAGAAAUAGACACAGAAGGAGAACUGGGCUCACCCCACAUUGCGCCUCUGUGGUGGCUGACUGCUGACUCAGGGGCUGCUCAGAGAGGCAGUGCAGCUCUGCAGGACCCCAGUGAGGGCAGUCCAGCUGGCCCCUGGCAGCUGCUGUGGGAGCCAGGCUUCCUCCCUCAGGCUUCGGCCAUUGGGUUGUGCUGACCUGGCUCCUCCCUCCCAGCUGUAGACCAGCCCUGUGGGCUGUGUGCACCUUGCCUGAGGGACCACACCAUCCCCAGGAGCUCUGAGCACUGUAUCUGAAUGAAUGGGGAUUAGUGGCACUGUUUGAGGGUAGUAAGUGACGGUGUGUAAUCUGUUGUUUCUGAAUCUAGUGGCCCCUGCUCUGGGAGAGCUAGCAGGGCUUGCUGGGGUCCUGCCUUUGGCUUUCCUGCUUCUGUCCCCAUCACUGGCUGUUCUGUCUGAAGUUCUUCCUUCUGCAUAGAUACGGUCUUAUGGCUGAAAGGUAGCCUGAAGGCCUGGGGGCCAUUCUUCCUGGUAGCAGUGAAGCAGGCUAGUUAAAUAUGCCAGCAUAAAUACUUCAUUACUCUGUGUCUCUUAACUCCCAGUCACACACCAGGGCCCAGAGAGGUUAAGAAACUUAUUUUCUUAGCUUCUGUUAGCAAAAAACCAGAGAGAGCCCACUAAAUUGGCUGUUCUGGAUGGCCUAGUCCUGGUGCUCUGGGGUCCCUCCCACCCCGACCAAACCAGACCCUUCCUAAGGAAGCACUGGUGCUGGCUGCUCUGGGAGAAGGGGUGUGGCCAUGCUCUUCAGAGCUGGGACCACCCCACCCGAGGCACAGGCUCCAUUGGCCAAGAGCAGGUUGAUUCAGUGGUGGCAAAGUGGCAACUGUGAGUCUGAUCUGGUGACUGACUGUGGACAGCACAAGAGACGUUUCGAGCCUGCAUUUCGGCAGUACCCAGGCUGUGCUUCGUUUUGAGAAUUUGAGACUCUGGCUUCUGCAGUUUUACAAGCCAGUCAAGUCCGAACUUGGGUAAGUUUGACUACAUGAGCACACCUUAGCAUCUGCUUAUAUGUGGACAAAGAUCUCUUGAGUGCCUCUGUGGGCCAGGCAUUGUCACGCAGAGGGACACCUCGGCAUCAGUGAGAGCGUGCUGCUGAACAACUGGAGUGUUGUAGGAGGAGUAGUGGAGGAGACCCAGGGGUGUGUCAGGAGCUUGCUGCAGAGGUGCUUUACCCUCGUGGUGAGACCCCCGGCUAGGCUUACCUUUCCUCUGGCCUGGGUGGGGUGGGAGAGCAGAAAAAGCCUGUGGGCGGAGGGCCCUCUGCCUAGGGAAGUGGCUGUUCCCAGAGGACCAGGGGUGUGGCACAGUGCAAGAUGCAGAUGUUGAAAUGGAGCCCAGAAGAUGGGUGGCUUAUACCAGAUCUGUAGUCCCGGCUGGCUUUGGGGAGCCCUGCCAGGGUCUCAGCCUAGGAAAUAACAUGAGGAACAGGAGCACAGCUUCCUUGGGCAAGCUUCCGGUGUGAACUUUGAAAUGACAGUAAUGACCGUCUCCUGGCACGGAAGCAGGGUGGUCCUAAGUCAGGAAUAGGUAUGAGGCCUGCUUUCUGUGCUCUCCAAGUGAUUGGAGAAUAAGCAAAUAGGAAGUGAUUGUGAAUAGCAAAAACAAUUUUUAAAGCUGCAAGGAAAGAAUGGACUUCUGUUUUUACAUUGUUGCAGAGAUUUGUAUCAUUUCCAUGGAUGUUAAUUUUUGAGUGGGUAAAACACCCAUAUGGC
rnacentral:lncRNA from 1 species